rnacentral:rRNA from 1 species
AGUCAAUAGAUACCCCGGUAGUCCACGCCGUAAACGAUGAAUACUAGGUGUAGGGGUUGUCAUGACCUCUGUGCCGCCGCUAAACGCAUUAAGUAUUCCGCCUGGGGAGUACGGUCGCAAGAUUAAAACUCAAAGGAAUUGACGGGGGCCCGCACAAGCAGCGGAGCAUGUGGUUUAAUUCGAAGCAACGCGAAGAACCUUACCUAGACUUGACAUCUCCUGAAUUACUCUGUAAUGGAGGAAGCCCUUCGGGGCAGGAAGACAGGUGGUGCAUGGUUGUCGUCAGCUCGUGUCGUGAGAUGUUGGGUUAAGUCCCGCAACGAGCGCAACCCUUAUUGUUAGUUGCUACCAUUAAGUUGAGCACUCUAGCAAGACUGCCCGGGUUAACCGGGAGGAAGUGGGGAUGACGUCAAAUCAUCAUGCCCCUUAUGUCUAGGGCUACACACGUGCUACAAUGGCUGGUACAGAGAGAUGCU